CGCGGUGUGCGGCCUCUCGGACGAGAAGACUGGGCUUACGUUGGAUACAAGUUAUUGUCGUCCGGCAAGGUUUUAAAAAGUGAUGUUAUAGCUACUGGACAUUGAAGCGAUUGAAGACCAGAAAGCCUUAGUGCGACCGGCUUGAUUCAGAUUACUCCCCGAGAGCGACACUCGUUAAGGAUGCGAGUAUUUGAAGUUCCGCUUUCAAGCAUUGGACGGCCUGCAAAUUACCAUUGGAGCCGAACUGCAUGCAUUUUCUAGAUGAUCUUAAAUACGGAGCGGUAUUCUAAAGAUGUAGUUGUGCAGUGUGUAGUUCGUAGAUUACGAAACAACGGAGCGAGAAUACAGUUGGCGUUCCGUUUUGGGUCAGUUAUGUUGUUUUCCUUUUUCCAUGUUUUAAAGUCGCUGUGCUUUAUGCUCAGGAUCGAAGCAAAAUGUACAGGAGUGGGCUGCGA
rnacentral:lncRNA from 1 species